CCUACGGGAGGCAGCAGUGGGGAAUAUUGGACAAUGGGGGCAACCCUGAUCCAGCCAUGUCGCGUGUGUGAAGAAGGCCCUCGGGUUGUAAAGCACUUUCAGUGAGGAAGAACGCCUGGUGGUUAAUACCCAUCAGGAAAGACAUCACUCACAGAAGAAGCACCGGCUAACUCCGUGCCAGCAGCCGCGGUAAUACGGAGGGUGCGAGCGUUAAUCGGAAUUACUGGGCGUAAAGCGCGCGUAGGUGGCUUGAUAAGCCGGUUGUGAAAGCCCCGGGCUCAACCUGGGAACGGCAUCCGGAACUGUCAAGCUAGAGUGCAGGAGAGGAAGGUAGAAUUCCCGGUGUAGCGGUGAAAUGCGUAGAGAUCGGGAGGAAUACCAGUGGCGAAGGCGGCCUUCUGGACUGACACUGACACUGAGGUGCGAAAGCGUGGGUAGCAAACAGGAUUAGAUACCCUAGUAGUC
rnacentral:rRNA from 1 species